GCAUAUCAAUAAGCGGAGAAAAGAAACCAACAGGGAUUACCUCAGUAACGGCGAGUGAAGCGGUAAAAGCUCAAAUUUGAAAUCUGGCUCUUUCAGAGUCCGAGUUGUAAUUUGUAGAAGAUGCUUCGGGUGUGGUUCCGGUCUAAGUUCCUUGGAACAGGACGUCAUAGAGGGUGAGAAUCCCGUAUGUGACUGGAUACCUAUGCUCAUGUGAAGCUCUUUCGACGAGUCGAGUUGUUUGGGAAUGCAGCUCAAAAUGGGUGGUAUAUUUCAUCUAAAGCUAAAUAUUGGCCAGAGACCGAUAGCGCACAAGUAGAGUGAUCGAAAGAUGAAAAGCACUUUGGAAAGAGAGUUAAACAGUACGUGAAAUUGUUGAAAGGGAAGCGCUUGCAAUCAGACUUGCACUUGGUGUUCAUCAGGGUUUCGUGCCCUGUGUACUUCAUCAAGUUCAGGCCAGCAUCAGUUUGAGUGGUUAGAUAAAGGCUUGGAGAAUGUGGCCCUCUUCGGGGGGUGUUAUAGCUCCAGGUGCAAUGUAGCCUACUUGGACUGAGGACCGCGCUUCGGCUAGGAUGCUGGCGUAAUGGUUGUAAGCGACCCGUCUUGAAACACGGACCAAGGAGUGUACCUAAUAUGCGAGUGUUUGGGUGUUAAACCCAUACGCGUAAUGAAAGUGAACGCUGGUGAGAACCCUUAAGGGUGCAUCAUCGACCGAUCUUGAUGUCUUCGGAUGGAUUUGAGUAAGAGCAUAUUGGGUGCGACCCGAAAGAUGAUGAUCUAUACGUGAAUAGGGUGAAGCCAGAGGAAACUCUGGUGGAGGCUCGCAGCGGUUCUGACGUGCAAAUCGAUCGUCAAAYUUGCGUAUAGGGGCGAAAGACUAAUCGAAUCAUCUAGUAGCUGGUUCCUGCCGAAG
rnacentral:rRNA from 1 species